GGUGUGGUGGAGCGGUCGUUGAAAUACCAACCUUCUGUUACUUAGAUUCUAAUCCCUAACGGGAGACAUUGUAUGGUGGGUAGUUUGACUGGGGUGGUCGCCUCCUAAAAAGUAACGGAGGCUCGCAAAGGUGCCCUCAGCAUGGUUGGUAAUCAUGCGUAGAGCGUAUUAGUAUAAGGGCGCUUGACUGUGAGACAGACAUGUCGAGCAGGUGCGAAAGCAGGCUAAAGUGAUCCGGUGGUUCCGCAUGGAAGGGCCAUCGCUCAAAGGAUAAAAGGUACUCCGGGAUAACAGGCUGAUCUCCCCAAGAGCUCAUAUCGACGGGGAGGUUUGGCACCUCGAUGUCGGUUCGUCACAUCCUGGGGCUGGAGAAGGUCCCAAGGGUUCGGCUGUUCGCCGAUUAAAGUGGC
rnacentral:rRNA from 1 species